AGUGAACGCUGGCGGUAGGCCUAACACAUGCAAGUCGAACGGCAGCACAGUAAGAGCUUGCUCUUACGGGUGGCGAGUGGCGGACGGGUGAGGAAUACAUCAGAAUCUACUUUUUCGUGGGGGAUAACGUAGGGAAACUUACGCUAAUACCGCAUACGACCUACGGGUGGAAGCAGGGGAUCUUCGGACCUUGCGCGAUUGAAUGAGCCGAUGUCGGAUUAGCUAGUUGGCGGGGUAAAGGCCCACCAAGGCGACGAUCCGUAGCUGGUCUGAGAGGAUGAUCAGCCACACUGGAACUGAGACACGGUCCAGACUCCUACGGGAGGCAGCAGUGGGGAAUAUUGGACAAUGGGCGCAAGCCUGAUCCAGCCAUACCGCGUGGGUGAAGAAGGCCUUCGGGUUGUAAAGCCCUUUUGUUGGGAAAGAAAAGCAGCAGGUUAAUACCCCGCUGUUCUGACGGUACCCAAAGAAUAAGCACCGGCUAACUUCGUG
rnacentral:rRNA from 1 species